CGGUGGGCCACCUCUCCCCACCGAGAGGCGACUAUCUGUGAGGAUAGA
rnacentral:ncRNA from 1 species